AAUGUUAAGAUUUUUUUAAUUAUAGAAUAUUAAAUUAAAUAUUUUAUAUGAGUUAAUCCUCUAAUAUUAAUCUAUUAAAAUAAUUUAAUAUUAAAUAUAUCUAUAUAUUAAAAUUAUAUUUAAAUUUAAUUAAAUUAAAAAUUAACUAUGUUAAAAUUAGUAUAUACUUUUUAUUUUAUUAAGGAACUCGGCUAAUUAUUAUUCACCUGUUUAUCAAAAACAUAGUCUUAUGUAUUUAUAUAAGGUGAAACCUGCCCACUGAUGUUAAAUUUAAUGGCCGCAGUACCUUGACUGUGCUAAGGUAGCAUAAUAAAUUGACUUUUAAUUGGGGCCUUGAAUGAAUGGAUAAAUGGAUAAUUUCUGUCUCAAUAAAAAUUUUAUAAGUUGCUUAAAAGGUGAAAAUUCCUUUAAAUAAAUUAAAUAGACGAGAAGACCCUAGGAGUUUUUAAUUUUGUUGGGGCGACAGUAUAGCAUUAUAACCUAUAUAUAAACAUUUUUAUAAAACGAAUAAUUUUAAUAAUAAAUAAACUACCCUAGGGAUAACAGCAUAAUUUAAUUUUAAGUUUGUGACCUCGAUGUUGGACUAGGGACUUUUAAAGCUAACAGUGUUAAUUGACAGUUCUGUUCGA
rnacentral:rRNA from 1 species